GCCCCUCCGAUGUCCACACAUACCUGGCAAAGGUACAUACGGGGGUAUUGCUGUACUCAGCCGACAUAGCUGAGCAACAUAUGAAGUAUUAUACAGUCGUAGCACACAUAAGGUUUGCAAAAUAUACUGUGCAAACUCACUUUGUAUGUCAAAAAGGCAGAAAAAACGCUUAUUACCACUACAUCUGGCACAAGCUAGCGGAAAAAUGAUCCCACGCUAAGGUUCAAACUAUACCUUUUGAAACACCCUGGGGUGUCUACUUUAAGAAAU